UGUCCUAUAGUGUAACGGCAGCACAUCUGAUUUUGGUUCAGCUGGUCCAGGUUCGAAUCCUGGUAGGACAA
rnacentral:tRNA from 1 species